rnacentral:rRNA from 1 species
CCUACGGGUGGCAGCAGUGAGGAAUAUUGGUCAAUGGACGAGAGUCUGAAUCAGCCAAGCAGCGUGAAGGAUGACUGUACAAUGGAUCGUAAACUUCUUUUAUAUGGGAAUAAAACAGGGUAUGUAUACCCUCUUGUAUGUACCAUAUGAAUAAGCAUCGGCUAACUCCGUGCCAGCAGCCGCGGUAAUACGGAGGAUCCGAGCGUUAUCCGGAUUUAUUGGGUUUAAAGGGUGCGUAGGUGGAUUGUUAAGUCAGUUGUGAAAGUUCGCGGCUCAACCGUAGAAUUGCAGUUGAAACUGGCAGUCUUGAGUACAGGAGAGGUAGGCGGAAUGCGUGGUGUAGCGGUGAAAUGCUUAGAUAUCACGAAGAACUCCGAUUGCGAAGGCAGCUCACUGGACUGCAACUGACACUGAUGCUCGAAAGUGUGGGUAUCGAACAGGAUUAGAUACCCGGGUAGUC